rnacentral:lncRNA from 1 species
GAAACCCCCAGCUACCGGAGACUGAGGGACUUUGUGGCUUAAGUUGGGUUGGGUUGAACUCAAAGCCCCACUUGGGACUCACAAGAAAAGUCUCCCGAGCUUUUGAAUUGCCCUCUAGAGAGCCUUAAGAUAGUCAAGUGGGACAACUCUGGGUGGGAAAAUCUGGGGACAGACCCGAUGGUUUUUCGCUCCCGGCAGAUCCGGGAGGCUCCCUUAUUAACUAUCAGUCACGUGGAUUUCAAGACUGAAAAUUCAGCUGAUGUGCUGUCUCUUCAAGUCAACUAUCAGGAGACUCAGCAGUUAUUGAGGGGUGUGAGUGAUUUUUAGAGGAAUCCAAACAUUGGGUAAUUGUGUAUUUAGGAAAAAGAACAAUAAUAAAAAAAAGUAAGGUAGAUUAAAUUGGGGGAAAAAAAAAAGGAAACAACCGAGCAAAAAAAUAACAGCAGGAAAACAAAUCCUACACAAAGAGGAUCAGAAAAGAAACAGAAUUAAAGCCCCUGAAUGGCAUUUGAGUAAUGGUGAAAGACCGAACCAACGCAUUGCCUUGUCCUUAAAAUUCACGGAAAUAGCAGAGAAUGAUGAAUAACAGACAUGCAAUGAGGGAAACAAAAAUCUCUUCAUUUCCAUGCUUUCCAGAGUUUAACCGAAAUAAGUCCCCGUUCCUAUUUGAAUGUGGCCUCGCUGGGCUUUGAAAUCGGAAAACAAUCCUCGCAUGUGGAAUUGGAGGCUCACUAGCUAGCAUUUAAAAACAGGAAAUGAAAAUGAGUGACAAACCAGAACACUGGAGGAGAGAGAAAAAGAAAUAUCGCCUCCCUAGCCUUCUGCUCCUUCGCCGUCCAGUCCGUCCCACAGGCAGAGUGGAAAUUGCUUUGCUCGUGCCGGCGUCGCGUUUUCGCCCUUAUGACAAUUGGUCAUGUUUAUUGAACACCAACUAUGCCGCAGAAGAUUUAGAGAGAGGAUAGCCUUCAAGACACUAGUGUUUUUACUCCACAAAUGGAGAGACUGAGCUGCUGCAAUGCGACGUGACCGACUUGAGUCUAGGGCUGUC